rnacentral:rRNA from 1 species
CCUACGGGAGGCAGCAGUGAGGAAUAUUGGUCAAUGGCCGGAAGGCUGAACCAGCCAAGUAGCGGGAGGGAAGAAUGCCCUAUGGGGUGUAAACCUCUUUUAUGCGGGGAUAAAGGGGGCCACGUGUGGAUGUUUGCAGGUACCGCAUGAAUAAGGACCGGCUAAUUCCGUGCCAGCAGCCGCGGUAAUACGGAAGGUCCGGGCGUUAUCCGGAUUUAUUGGGUUUAAAGGGAGCGUAGGCCGGUCUUUAAGCGUGCCGUGAAAUUUUGUGGCUCAACCAUGAGAGUGCGGCGCGAACUGGCGACCUUGAGUGCGCGAGAGGCAGGCGGAAUUCGUGGUGUAGCGGUGCAAUGCUUAGCUAUCACGCAGAACCCCGAUUGCGAAGGCAGCCUGCCGCAGCGUUACUGACGCUGAGGCUCGAAAGCGCGGGUAUCGAACAGGAUUAGAUACCCCUGUAGUC